AGCCACAAUUUGAAUAUUGUGGAUGCAUAGAGCAGUGGAUAUUUGACUGGGGUAACCACAAGAAUUGAGAAGAAAGAUACAGCUGUGACAGAGACAUACACCAGGCCCCAUGACGACUUUGCUCCCAGUUUCUGCCUUAUCUCUGGCUCUUACAGGGCAGGUGACUUCCGGGCUGUUUUCAUAUGCAGACAUAUAGUGAAAGACUGGGUAAGCCUGAAACCUGAAGCUAAGCCCUGGAUCAGCUGGUUAUAGCAAUAAGAUGGAAAGCCUUCUUCAAUGGAAGGAGGGCACUUUGUGUGGUUUAUACUACAAACCAGAUGAGUAAUGACUGAAGAGGUUUAUUUUCACUCAGUCAUCACAUGGUGCUCCUCUUCUGUACUAAAUCAACCACAUCAACC
rnacentral:lncRNA from 1 species